UACGUAGGUGGCAAGCGUUGUCCGGAAUUACUGGGUGUAAAGGGAGCGUAGGCGGGUCUACAAGUUGACUGUAUAAACGAUCGGCUCAACUGGUCGUGGCGAUCAAAACUGUAGAUCUUGAGUGGAGUAGAGGCAGGCGGAAUUCCUAGUGUAGCGGUGAAAUGCGUAGAUAUUAGGAGGAACACCAGUGGCGAAGGCGGCCUGCUGGGCUCUAACUGACGCUGAGGCUCGAAAGCGUGGGUAGCAAACAGG
rnacentral:rRNA from 1 species